rnacentral:lncRNA from 1 species
ACCAAGCGAAAAAUCAUAGGCCAAACAGUUGAUAUCGGAACUUGCUGGCAUUUGGUUGUGGAGUGCGCGUUGGUACAACUACUCAACGUUUUUUCGUACGUACGCCACCACGAAACGAGUACGAGUGUUUUAUAUGUGCACCAGUGAAGCAAACUCUCGAAACGACGAAGGCGAAUUACAUACAAGUGGAUGCGCGCGCGAUUUCUCUCUCUGAAUUUUCAGUGAGUGCGAUAAGCAGUGUGUAUGUAAACACCGUCACACGCACACCCUCAUACACACGGCCAGUGCAGUUAAGCGCGUGUGAGUACUUGAUACGGCAGCGCUAUUUGCGAUUUUAAUUCACAUACAGCAGCCGCAAUUAAAUUAGCAGCGGCUAUAAAGUGUGCGAGUGCCCCUGAAAGUGUACGAAUUGAUUGCGCGAAAAUUGAGAAUAAUAAUAAGCAAUACGAGUAACAAGUAAUAAUAACAAAAAGUGCAGAGUACUUGUCUGUAUGUAUUGGCUGGACUCGGCAUUAUCAGUGUUUCGCAAAAGUUGAAGUGUCGUUGUGUGUGCGAGCAAAUCUGUGGAAAUUGCAAUUAUUCAGCAAGUGCUAAUUAAAUUAGUUGCAACCAGAAGUUCAGCGGAAUUUGCUGUGAGAGCUGUUAGCGCUGGAAUACAACCGAAAAUACACAACUGAAGGUGAGUGGAAGACUGAAGCG